rnacentral:rRNA from 1 species
GACGAACGCUGGCGGCGUGCUUAACACAUGCAAGUCGAACGGAAAGGCCCUGCUUUUGUGGGGUGCUCGAGUGGCGAACGGGUGAGUAACACGUGAGUAACCUGCCCUUGACUUUGGGAUAACUUCAGGAAACUGGGGCUAAUACCGGAUAGGAGCUCCUGCUGCAUGGUGGGGGUUGGAAAGUUUCGGCGGUUGGGGAUGGACUCGCGGCUUAUCAGCUUGUUGGUGGGGUAGUGGCUUACCAAGGCUUUGACGGGUAGCCGGCCUGAGAGGGUGACCGGCCACAUUGCGACUGAGAUACGGACCAGACUCCUACGGGAGGCAGCAGUGGGGAAUAUUGCACAAUGGGCGGAAGCCUGAUGCAGCAACGCCGCGUGCGGGAUGACGGCCUUCGGGUUGUAAACCGCUUUCGCCUGUGACGAAGCGUGAGUGACGGUAAUGGGUAAAGAAGCACCGGCUAACUACGUG